rnacentral:rRNA from 1 species
GAUGAACGCCGGCGGCGUGCCUAACACAUGCAAGUCGAACGAAGCACCUUACCUGAUUCUUCGGAUGAAAGUUUGGUGACUGAGUGGCGGACGGGUGAGUAACGCGUGGGUAACCUGCCCUGUACAGGGGGAUAACAGCUGGAAACGGCUGCUAAUACCGCAUAAGCGCACGAGGAGACAUCUCCUUGUGUGAAAAACUCCGGUGGUACAGGAUGGGCCCGCGUCUGAUUAGCUGGUUGGCAGGGUAACGGCCUACCAAGGCAACGAUCAGUAGCCGGUCUGAGAGGAUGAACGGCCACAUUGGAACUGAGACACGGUCCAAACUCCUACGGGAGGCAGCAGUGGGGAAUAUUGCACAAUGGGGGAAACCCUGAUGCAGCAACGCCGCGUGAGUGAAGAAGUAUUUCGGUAUGUAAAGCUCUAUCAGCAGGGAAGAUAAUGACGGUACCUGACUAAGAAGCUCCGGCUAAAUACGUG